UACGUAGGGUGCAAGCGUUGUCCGGAAUUAUUGGGCGUAAAGAGCUUGUAGGCGGUUUGUCGCGUCUGCUGUGAAAUUUCGGGGCUCAACCCCGAACUUGCGGUGGGUACGGGCAGACUAGAGUGUGGUAGGGGAGACUGGAAUUCCUGGUGUAGCGGUGAAAUGCGCAGAUAUCAGGAGGAACACCGGUGGCGAAGGCGGAUCUCUGGGCCAUUACUGACGCUGAGGAGCGAAAGCGUGGGGAGCGAACAGG
rnacentral:rRNA from 1 species